UAAAUUAAAACUAAUUAAAUUUGGUAUUCUUAGUUACAUUUAGAAUUUUUAAGUGAAAAUCUUAAUAAUUUAA
rnacentral:tRNA from 1 species